rnacentral:miRNA from 1 species
CAGAGCUGUGGCAUCCACGUCG